GUGGCAUGUCUGGGCUUGUUCAACUUCUAUAGGUUCAGAGAUGUACAUCAAUCGUACAUCAUCGUCUGUACAUCAUCGUCUAAAUUAUAUGCAGAAAAAAUCAAUUUAAUCAUCACUGAACAGACUGUGAAACUAUUUUGAGUUAAAGUAAACAUGAGGGAAAAAAUUGAGUUGGCUCAGGUUGGCUCUUGGUCCAGUUGGUCCCCUGGAGCUAGACAAGUUGUAGGCGCGAAACUCACCAGCUGAGCCUCAAUAAAAAAAUGUACUUGAUUUCACACAGCAAGAACUUCCUAUAAAAUAAAUGAAAAAAUAAAAGCUUUACCAAGGGAGAAAAACAAAAGUACAGAAAAGGGGGACCGGGUAUGCUUGUAACACAAGGAGAGUUGUAAGCCCAACAUAGGAGUCAAAUGAUCGUUUGUGUUUAUCCAUUUCCUCCCCAGUAAUACAUGGGGAUUUUUGAGUCUGGAAACAAGUGCAUCUCGUUUCUACUGAGAAAAAAAAGAUUUUGAGGAUUAUCCUCUCAUCGUUUGGCAACCGGCGACUGAGCACAUGGAACUGGGCGGCAAGUCAGAGACGUUCGCCAAAUCAGCAGCAGACUUAUACCAUUACAUCAUUCGCAUCUAUGGGAAACAGUGCAUUAUUUAUGAACCGACAGACAUGUCCAAACCUCUAUUUUGGUAGACCUACUAAACAGUAAACCUACUAUUGAGAGUCAGGCUGAUCAAUUUAAGGUAGCCAUUGACAGCAAGGCGCAAUUGUUUCAGGAAAUCUAAGGUGCACUGUACAAAAUAUGUGACUGCAAGUUCACGAAAUAUAAGGACCACUAGUUGAAUAAUUUUUCCGCUUUCAAGCAUAAAUGUGUGGAAAAUAAGGCUGUUUGGCUCCAACACAGCAGUGGUUCUCCUUGUUAGUAACAUCAUGUACUUAUGACUAACUGAGGGGCGGGUUAUUUUGAGUGAGACACAUACUGUAUAUUUUCUUUAACAUGGAAUUAUUAUGCAACCGAAGCUUAAGUAAAUCAAAGUUGCAUCAGCUAAAUAAGACGGACAAUUUUUGAAAUGAUACUAACUUGAGAUUUUAUAACAGCUGUCUUACUGACCAUCAGUCAAAAACCUGUCAUUGAGUAUGGGCUAGCUUAUAGUGUCUGGCAUUACAGUAAUAUUCAUUCAGUUGGUCAGUUCUUUAUGCAAUACAAACGUUAAAAACAUGAUAUUUAGAUGUUAUGCAACAUUUUCUUUUUCACAAAAGACAUUUGAACUCAAAUUAUGUUUUAACUUGUGACAUACAUUAAAGCUUUGCAGUACAAGAAUUGAUAAAACAACUAAGUUAGUCCUAUUAGUGUUUUCUUGUAGUGAAGUGUUUUGCAUUUGAUUUAAUUAGAAAAAUAAGUUAACAGGAUAAAAUUUGAGAUUACUUUUCAGACUGCAAAAAAAUCUACAUGAUAUGAUUUAGAGUGAAGGGGUUUAGGCUCAGUUUGUAAUUCUUCCUUCACAUCAGUUUUAUAAACAAUUCCAAAGAGCCCAAGAAAUCCAUUCAAUGUAAUAACAGAAAGAGCCCAUUAGUGUUUAUACAACACCGUUUCAAAAAGCUUGUGAGGACAUUGAGAAUUUGUCAGAUUUGUUCAAUUUGAGGGUGUUGCAUUGUCUAUCAAAAGACAAUUUUAUGUAAAUGUUUAUACCACAUAUUGAAAAAGUUACUGAAAUCUUUGGAGAAAAAAACAUAGUGACAAAUGGAUGGGAUUGGUAUGGCUUAGUCCACUCGGGGGAAAAAGGACCUCCUUUAACUUAAUCCACAACACUACUGUGAAGUAAUUUACAAUUUUCAUACAGUAAAUGAUGUAAGGGGUAAAAAGGUUUAUCAAACAAUACCAGGAAAAUGGUAGAAAACAAUAUGCUGCUGACAGAAUGUUCUCAUGAUGAAUAUGUACUUGGGUGACUCAGAAUUUACAUUUGUUGCACUGUGUUGUACUACACUGAUGAGUUUUUUCACACUGCAACUGCAAGAAUAGAGCAUAACACUGAUGCAUAUCUGUAAUCGCCUAACCACUGAAAGAAAUGUACCUAGUUCAAACGUA